rnacentral:misc_RNA from 1 species
CAUUAUCGUACAACCGAGGUGCGGAGGGCUGUCGCUGACUUUUGUCGUGCACGCCCAAAGUGCUCUCAAACAAUAUCCAUCUCACCCAUUUGUGCAUCAUCGCGUGGGUCCUGCUUUUUGGCUUGUCCCAAGGAGGGGGGCUCGCGUUUUCACACAAACACCCUUUUAAUGCAGUGUAGAAUGUUCUUUUGCGAUGACUCGCAAUAAAUACAACUUUCAACAACGGAUCUCUUGGCUCUCGCAUCGAUGAAGAACGCAGCGAAAUGCGAUACGUAAUGUGAAUUGCAGAAUUCAGUGAAUCAUCGAAUCUUUGAACGCACCUUGCGCCCCUUGGCAUUCCGAGGGGCACACCCGUUUGAGUGUCGUGACAUUCUCAAAAAGAACCCUUCUUGGUCUUGCGAUCGGGAAAGGCUUUUUUUUGGACUUUGGAGGUUAUUGCUGGUCCCCCCUUGAUAGCCAGCUCCUCUUAAAUGAAUUAGUAGGGACCGCUUUGCUGACCCUAGACGUGAUAAGAUGUUUCUGCGUCUUGGG